CAAAUUAUUUCUAUGUCAGAAUAUUUUUAUUUACAAUAAAUUUUAUAGUUGUUAAAUUCAACUUAAUUUGA
rnacentral:tRNA from 1 species